CAACUUUCAACAAUGGAUCUCUUGGCUCUGGCAUCGAUGAAGAACGCAGCGAAAUGCGAUAAGUAGUGUGAAUUGCAGAAUUCCGUGAAUCAUCGAAUCUUUGAACGCACAUUGCGCCCCUCGGUAUUCCUUGGGGCAUGCCUGUUCGAGCGUCAUUU
rnacentral:rRNA from 1 species